rnacentral:rRNA from 1 species
GACGAACGCUGGCGGCGUGCUUAACACAUGCAAGUCGAACGGAAAGGCCCUGCUUUUGUGGGGUGCUCGAGUGGCGAACGGGUGAGUAACACGUGAGUAACCUGCCCUUGACUUUGGGAUAACUUCAGGAAACUGGGGCUCAUACCGGAUAGGAGCUCCUGCUGCAUGGUGGGGGUUGGAAAGUUUCGGCGGUUGGGGAUGGACUCGCGGCUUAUCAGCUUGUUGGUGGGGUAGUGGCUUACCAAGGCUUUGACGGGUAGCCGGCCUGAGAGGGUGACCGGCCACAUUAGGACUGAGAUACGGCCCAGACUCCUACGGGAGGCAGCAGUGGGGAAUAUUGCACAAUGGCCGGAAGCCUGAUGCAGCAACGCCGCGUGCGGGAUGACGGCCUUCGAGUUGUAAACCGCUUUGGCCGGUGACGAAGCGUGAGUGACGGUAAUGGGUAAAGAAGCACCGGCUAACUACGUG